GCUUCACUACUCAGGCAAACGCCCAUGACGUCGUCAAAAAAGAACAAGGAAACCGAAGGCGUUGAAAAAUACACAAAGCUGAUCUGUUGGAAAACAUUGGAAUUUUUGUGAAAAUAUCAUAAGUAAAGCUGUGAUCAUGGAAUAAAUUUUGGUUACUAUUGGUGUUUGAUUAUAACGUAACGAUCGCCCUUCGGCCGUAUUUGCUAUACUCGCUUUUAUAGUAAUUCGUGUAUUUUAUUGCCAUGGAUGCAAUGGUAUUAAAAAUUCGUAUCAUGAAUUUUGUGAUCGUAUGUAUGGUUUUGUUGUGUUGUUUGAAUAUAUCAGAAGGUUUGUCUGUUAUUAAAUAACCUUUCUAUGGGAUUAUGAAGUCUGAUCAUUGCUUUAGUAGUUUAAUAUUUGUUGAUGUUUAAAAGUUUUAUAGUUGCGAUGUUAGUCAAAUAUGAAAAUAUUUAAAAGUAGUGUUGGGUAUACCCUUGUAUCCCCAGGCAAAUUUGUUCACAUGAAGCAAAAAACCAAUUUUGGCAAUGUGAUUGGUCAGCGAAAUUUAAAGUAAAAAUUUAAACCAAUUAUCACCAUUUAACAAAUCAUAUUGCCUGAAUUUGGUAUUUUCUCAAAAGUGUGAACAAAUUCACCAACUGGAAAACAGGCUUAGGGGCCACGUCCGUAUUCAUGUUGCCACAAAUAACGUCAAAUCGACGUUUUUUCGCCCACUCCAGAUAACAUCAAUCGAUAUUCAGUUGUUGUAUUUUGACUUUCGUAUUUAUGAUACAAAAUCUGUACUGUGAUAGUUACUUUGGACAUUAAUUGCCAAGAUUCUUUUUCUGUGUUGGUGUUAUGUACUCAGGUAAAUGUAUGAUGUUUGUGAUGUUACUCUGAGUGUAUAUCCACACCGGGCAAGCUUGAAAAAUAUGCCUGGCUGCCGUGGCCAGGCAUAUGUAUUUUUCAAGGUUGCCCGGUGUGGAUAUACACUCAGAGUAACAUCACAAACAUCAUUAAUUGUCAAAUUGCCACGAGAUAACGUCGAUAAGUUCACAUAAAAACCCACCCAUUCAUAACAUUGAUUCGACGUUAUUUGUGGCAAUAUGGAUGUGACCCCUAUAGUCUGUGAUGCACUGAUAUACUAAAAUGGAAAUAUUGGUACCGGUAAUUUUGUUGUUGAUAUUACCGAUAUAAUAAUAUACAUAAAAAUAUUACUUGACUGUGAUUGGUUGACUUCAGUGCAGUUAAUCCCAAACAGCAGUGCAAUUUUUUGUAAUCACAGUGCAAUUUUCUGUGAUCACAGUGCAAUUUUUUGUAAUCAUAGUGCAAUUUUCUGUAAUCACAGUGCAAAAAUCUGUAACAAACUAAUCUGAUUGGUGGAAAAACAUGUGAUGAUAAAAUCAACCAAUCAGUUUAAAGCAGUUUAGUUUAAAGAAGUAACGGUCAGAGAUUGCUUCAAAACAAAACAAACAUGGUGCCGCGCUAUACAUAGUCAUAGAGUAAAACUACAAUUGUCUUGAACAUUUUUAUGUAAAUUAUUAAUAAGUAAUAGCAUGGUUUCUCGUGAAAUUUGGAUAAACAUGCACUCGUGAGUUUUUCAAAGACCUCGAAUAGCACUUGUGCUAUUUUGAAGUCUUUGAAAACAUCACUUGUGCAUGUUAUAUCCAAAUUGCACUCAAAACCAUGGUAUCACCUAUACUUACAAACUAUUAUUAAUUAAAUAUUAAUAAUUGGUUAUAGUUGCAGUUCAAUAGUUGUUUUUAUUACAAAUAAACAGUCACUGCUGUAGUAAUAUACUCGUUUGUUGCAUGCAUUUGUUCACAGCAUUUCAUUUGAUAUUUUCAGUAUUUAGAAACCAAUGAAUUGAAUUAAAUUCAAAAGUAUUAAACUGUAGGGGUGCACCGGAUUUGGAAUUUUCAAAUCCGGCCGGAACCGGAUUUACCGGAUUUAGACAAAAAUUCCGCCGGAUUUGCCGGAUUUGAGAUAAACCGGUAAUGGGGACAAUUGGGGAUAAAUGAGUAUUCAAAAUGGCGGUUUAUGUUUUUUACUAUUUUUAGUUAGUGUCAGUUUAGAUUUUUGAUUGUGUUUAAACCUUUUUUAAAUAUCUUUUUGUUAAUAACUUAAUAUUUUAUAAUAAUAUAAGUGUUUUAUAAACUUUAAUGCUGCCAAAUUGAUGGUUUAUCCCAUUCUUGGUGAUUUUUUUAAGGUGAAAACAGAAAUUUAAAUCCGGCCGGAUUCUUUCCAAAUCCGGCCGGAUGCCGGAAAAUUCGUUAAAUCCGGCCGGAAUUCCGGCCGGAUUUGAAAUCCGGUGCACCCCUAUAUUAAAGUUGAACUGUCUUGAUGUCAUCUUUGAAUUUUGUGAAAUGACAUAGAAUAUCAGUAUUGGCAAAAUAUUGGUCCUUUAAUUAAUAUCGGUUAUCGGGAUAUUGGUGAAUUUCCAUAUUGGUGCAUCACUACAGGCUUAUUAAAACUUGGAUGGCCCUGCCUGGAAAAUUUAGAAAUUGCACACCCGGGAUUUAAAAAAUUUCUCUGACUAAUCGGAGAACAUUCAAUAAAUAAUCAAUAGGAAUUUGCUAAUAGUGCAAUAAAGAUUUUUAGACAAUAAUUACUUACAAAUCUGAUUUUAUUAGUUUAUUGUUCUAUUCCUUUGCCAUUGCUUAUAUAAAGUUACCGGCAGUAAAUUGGUAAAUGCUUUUGAAAGCCCUGCUAGAGGAAGCUUAAUAUACUCUUUCGUUUCCUUGUCAAAUCCAGAGCUCCAGAAUCAAAUUCUAAGCUUAUAACUUGUUCUUGUAGCUAAUAAUUGCAAAGAUAAUCCAUGUCCAGGUUACCAGUCACGAUGUAACUGCCCAGGUGGGAAUAGAGUGAAAUUUCAGUGUGUAAAUGGUCAAUGGAGACCAUUACCUUGUGGUAAGUAUGAUAUGGUGUAACAUGUUAAACUACAAUGUG